UCCACCUUCAUCCAAGUUAGAUCCUUACUGAUAAAGGAUGCUUCUGAUGUGAUUCACAGUGAUUUCUAUAGUUUCCUACUUAUCAUGGAUUUGGUAAAAAGCUGUUUGCUUUGCUUGUGACCUCAACUGUCCCAGAUGCCUGGAGUUGGACUCAAAACAGUAUUUUAAUGGUUCAUCUUUCAGCAAAGCUCCACACACACAGAUGCACUUGCAGUAGUUCAAUUUCAGCUAGUGAACACCAUUGGCAGGGCCAUUGCUGUGAACGGAGCUGCAUCCGCCCUGCAGGAAAAGCCAGCCUUGCUUUGUUAUACCCUAAGGUGGCAAACGAUCAUUUGUUUCUGCACAGCCUUGAUACCAAAACCACCACCCCAGUGGCUGAAAUCUGGGUUAUACAAUGCCAUCGCUGCCGUGAAAAAGUGAGGUUAAGAUAAGGUCAUCCAAAAGGAGAACUGAUGAUGGCCUACAACUGCCUCUGGAGGAUGUUUGCACUGCAUGUAACAAACUUUUUUUAGUACAGGUGAAAACUGAAACGCUUGAUGCUCAAACAUACAUAAGCACAGAGGCCAGAAAGCUGAAAGUUUGUUGAGCUGUUCAGUGUGCUCACAAAUGCUCUGGAAAUUCAGUGCAUAGUGAGUUGGCAACAUUUGCAAAUGGUACAAAAUCAAGGAGGUUCAUCCAUGAUAAAACAGACAGUGAAGAGUAAAAAAAAGGAGCCCAUGAUGUGCAGCAUCUGCGCAAAAAUUUAACUGACUAAAUUCAGAAUUUGUAGAUUAAAAGUGAUGCCACCACUCCUAUUCAUUUCACAGCCCAGUAGAGCCAACCCUGAAAACUGCGCAAUUGAAACAUUUUUAAAAGGUGCAAAACCUACACCAUUACUUCUAUCAAUGCUUUAUGAAAAUAGCCUGCCGAAUGGUAUGCUACUGCAUGAAAGGCUACUGCAUGAAAGUGGAACCAGAUAAGAAAGUAAGGGAAUGUAUGAGAAACACGAAGUCAUGCCUGAAGAACAGUUAUCUCUUUUCCAGAAUGCUAACAUAAUUCCUAGAGCACAAAGAACAAAAGCUUUCUUCUGACAGGGUCUGUAGGUACAUUUUGCAGGGAUCAUGAGACAGGGGAAUCUAUCCCAUUUAGGUGGCUGGCAGUUGAAAGGGAGCUACUCUGAGUGGCGCAAGGUCCAUGGAUCAACGAGCUUCAGCACUGGAAACGUAGUCAUUUGAUGACUGGAGAGAACAUCAUUGAAGGAAAUCGCUAUAACCCAAAUUGCCAAUGCACAGAUGCCUUAUAACUUUGGACCACUGUGAAGGAACAGAAACGCAAGCCAUGCCAUCAAGAACAUACAAGUUUGUUUGAGAAAGACCUACUACCCUCUAAUAGCAUGUGGAAAAAAAGAACCCGUCUUUCCAUCUCCAUGGUGACGAGUUGAAUUUUUGUCCCCUCCAAGGAGGUACCUGUGUUAUCAUCACUAAGCUGAAUAUAUGCUGAAUGAUCGUUGACCUCUGCAGAAAGCAAAGGCAAAUUACCUCCAGAAGACUGCAAAAGGGGAUCGACGUUGCUCCAGCCUCUCUCCUUGCAGAUGGUGGCCUUCUCACCGCAUUACUGUCCACAUCGGCUACACCAGCCUGACCUGCACUACACAGCCUUGUGCAACAAGCCAGCCGGAUCCCAUACGUCAGCUGGGCACUAUGCAGGAGGGUGCUGACGGAGAGCCACGCGGAGCAGAGGAUGCUCGCGGGUCAUGGGUGCUGUUCCACCUGCUGUACGUACAGAGAUCCAGGCUUUCCUGGCACCUGAAAACAAAGGGCUGCUUUGAAAACUAACCCUAAAACUCAGAUCUUGAUCCUUUCUGCUCAUUACAACAUCCACUGGGGUGGAUGGGGUGGAAAAACAGGAGUGUUGAUACUAGUCUUCCUAGCUAAGUGUAAUAAAUGUAGUCCAUCCCCAGUGGCCUUUCCCAAAACUGGCCUUCCCCUGCACUGUCCUUUAUAGAGAACAUUUUCACAGGAACAAAGCCAAUUUAGGUGCCCAACUCUCAAAAACCAUGGCAGCUGGGUAUAAGACUUCUGUUUGCACCACUAAGGGGUGAAACCCUCUUGCAUUUCUUGUGAAGCUGCUUGGGCUAUGGACAGCCGCCUCUGGUCAUGCAGGUUGUUGCUACUUCGCUGGUAAUGGUUGAUGCUGAAGCUGGGGUCGCAUCCCAGCUUCAGGACCAUUCUGCGGUGACAACAGCUGCCCUUAAGCGUGAGCCCCAGAGGAUGCCGGGGCAGCAUUUUCUGCUUUCUCUGGGGAACAGAGAGUGAAAAGGAUGAUGACUGGAGGCCCCGAGUUAGAUGUUGUGGAUUUAAACAAUGACGCAAAGUGAAUUUUUUUCUUUUCAGAAUGAGGAAUGAAACUAGUAACAAAGUAACAAGAAGUCUGCAGUCACUUCAGACAACAAUGGAAUAAUGUGAGUUUAACUAUACCAUGGUGCAACUUCAGAGGAAAAGCUAUGCAGGAAUGAGUCAAAUAUCACUGACAUUUUAGCUUUGUUAAUAAUAAGUAAUACCAUAGCAAGUUACAUGUAAGAAAAAUGCACAUGUAAAAUAUAGAAAAUAAUUUUAUGGAGCUUCUGAGCUGCAGCGUAUCUUUAAAAAACCUUCUAGAAAGCCCUUUACCAUGUCACUAGGCACACCUUUAUUUAUUACUUUUUAAGAAAAGAGCACAGAAGAACUUAAUCCAAACUAAAUAUUUAAACAAACAGCAAUUAACUAACAAUGAUCAAUGCUAAACAGUCCUGGUCCCAGGCUGAACUGGGGCUUUAGAGCCCAUUUAUCUGGGCUAAAGCUGCCCAAAGGGAAAAGCAAGUUUACUGAGUAAACUUUACCUCAGUCACCUCACUAUAAAAGCAAUCUACAAAGAGAAACUACAUCAUGUAUUCGGAGAGAGAGAGGAAAAAAAAAGCAAGAACAUAGCAGUCCAUUGCAUGGAAGUUACGAUACCUUAUGGAGUAAUUGUCCCUAAAAUAAAAGCACAGAAAAAAUAAAGCUGUAAAGUAGAUGCUUUCAACCUUCCAUGACCUUAUCUUAAAAUAGAAACGAGUGAGGCACCCCUUAAAUUCCACCCUUGUUCCCAUUUAGCCUUAAAGAUCCACUAGGAAGGAGUGAGAGCGCGUGGAGUUGCGCAAGUUUUUCUCCACGUGGACCCGUCUGAACGUGAGAGAA